rnacentral:tRNA from 1 species
CCCACCGAUGCGCUGGCGGGAUUGCCCGCCCUCGUCGUGAGCGGCCUGCGCGGUAGCGACGCGCGCCUGCUGUUGGAGUCGGCGUUGGUGGGCCC